CUGGCCUUUCUUCCUCCCUGUGGAUUUGCUCCGUCUAGACGCCAUUACGAGUCAUGUCUGUUUUAUGUGAUUCCGUGGGACUUAUCCGCCGCUGUAAAGACGCCAUGGAGAUCAAAGAGAAGUACACCCGAUGGCAGGCCGGACCCUAUCUCUCCUUCGGGGGCCAAGUUGUGAUUUGCUUGGCAGGAGCCGUGGUGCGGAACACUGGAGGCUGAGUGUGACGCUCCUUGUUGGCCGCUAUGAUGAUGAUGUGGUUUGGCUACUACCAGCUGAGAGGCCACAGCAUGCUGUCCUGAAGACCGGCCAGCAACCCGGACUCAAGAGCAGUGGUUUGCAUUGGUAAAAGUGUUAUUUCUGCUAUAAUUGUCUCUUGUUUCUCUUACGACUGUCUUCUGCUUCUCAUAUUCUCUUAUUUCUCCUGCAAGUGGUGUGCGGGAAAAACUGUGUAACAAAUGUUAGGACUCGCUGGCCUGACAAAUAUUAACCCAGUAGCUGUGGGGGUCAUGUUUCUUAACCCUUUCAUUGUGCGCAGUGUGGACGCGACUAUCCCCUCAGGCGCAGUUGGGCAGCCCAAUUGGGGGUCUCUUUUAGCCUCUGUAUCUCAAAAACUAUUCAUCACAGCUGAAAACUAAAAACACCAUUGGAAAGAGGAGGCCCAGAUCUAUAGGAGUCAGUUAUGUAUGCCUCUCUUGUGAACGUUCAGGGAGUGUUGAAUGUUAACACUUACAUCGGUGCGUGCGGGAUGACCAGCCAUAUUGAGGGAACUGUGGACAUUUUUUCCUUCAGACUCUGGCAAGGGAGCAUUGCCAACUGCAAUAUUUACAACUAUUUGGUCAAAGAAUCAGUCAGGUGAAGCUAUGCAAAAAUGCCGCUGUAUUGGGCAAGAACAUCCACCAGUUACUCGUCCGUAGAUUUGCCGCGCUGGGCUGACAUGAUUUUCCACUCAAUUGGCAAUCCUAUGUUGUGAGAAUUAAUGUUGGAACACUCAUACGCACGAGAUGUGAGUGUGGGUGGAGGUCGCAGCAAGCGUUUAGCAAUGAAAGGGUUAAUGGCCCCUCUAAGCGAGAAAAAUGAGAAAAAAUCACCCCUCACACAAAGCACUUAAUUAUAUAUAUCAAAGCAUUUGUGAUCAGUUUAUGCAUCGUCUAUUUUUGGGGUUUAUAUCAUGGCACAAAUUUGGCCCGUCGCUGCUACCGGGUUAAUGUCCAAAAAAUUUAUUUCAAGUUUCUUCACUAUAGUCUAUCGAUUUUAACUUGAGCCCUUGGGCGUGACUCAGUCGUUGUCUUUCCCUGUAAUCCCAAGCCAUUCAUAACACCAUGCAGUCGUAUUAUGAGUAUGUGUAUACUCCACAAAUAGAUAACGUACAGACUAACAGUGAGACAGAUCGCAGGUCAUGGCUAGAUCUGUAAAGAAUGGAGGCUUCCCCGGCCCAAACCACAGGGCUCAAGUUAGAGUCCAUGUACUAUAGUGACUUUAUAAGAACAUAAGGAGUCUGCAAGAGACCGGUUGGGCUAUACAAGGCAGCUCCUGUACACUCCACUCCACCUUACCUCACUAUCCAUGGCUUUAUCUAACCUCUUCUUGAAUGUAUCUACGGUAUUGGCACCCACAUCAUGGCCCCCAAGCCUGUUCCAUUCGUCCACCACUCUAUUGGUGAACCAAUUCUUGCCUAUGUCUUUGUUAAAUCUGGAUUUGUCCAACUUAAAACCAUUGCUACGCAUCCUACCCGGCUCUUUUACUAUCAAAAUCUUAUUGACAUCCCCUUUAUAGAAGCCCUUCAUCCAUUUAUAGACUUCGAUCAAGUCUCCUCGCAACCUUCGCAUUUCUAGCAAGUGUACAUUUAACUGCUUCAGCCUGUCUUCGUGAGGCAAAAGCGACAGGCCAAAUUUGUGGCUUUAUCGUGUAGCAGCGACGGGCCAAAUUUGUCUCUUUACCGCGUAGCAGCGACGGGCCAAAUUUGUGCCAUGAUAUAAACCCCCCCAAAAUAGAUGAUACAUAAUCUGAUCACAAAUGCUUUGAUAUAUAUUAUGAAAUGAUUUGUGCGAGGGGUGAUUUUUUCUCAUUUUUCUCGCUUGGAGGGACCAUUAAGAAACAUGAUCCCUACCACUUGUGCCUGGAAUCGAACCCGUACUUUCUGAAUAGAAAUCACAAUAGCUCAUCAGGUGGCAUGGUUGGUAUGCGCCUUGAUUUCUAUUCAGAAAGUACGGGUUCGAUUCCUGGCACAAGUGGUUUGUUGAGAUGUUUUUCUGUCGGUUAAAGACAGUUCCUUGAUAUAUAUACCACGGUGUUGUGUCGUCUGGGAUUGAUUAAAAUUCUUUCCGACUGCCCCGAGCGUGAGCGGGACUUCUUUACCUUUCAUUCCUCGUAAGAGGGUGGGGGCGUCAGGUUGGCUGCUUAAAUGCAACCUCUGGCGUGAAGUCUUUUAGCUCAUCAGGUGGCAUGGUUGGUAUGCGCCUUGAUUUCUAUUCAGAAAGUACGGGUUCGAUUCCUGGCACAAGUGGUUUGUUGAUAUAUAUAUAUAUAUAUAUAUAUAUAU